CAUGAUAUUUAAAGCCAUCACUCAGCUAUUUAUCCUGGGCUGUCCUCGGGGCCUUGGAUUUUUAUGGUUGAAGAAGUCGGGGAGACAAUCAGAUCAGUCGUUGCCUACGCAUUCAGCAUCAUCAAUGUCCUGCAGGGGGGGUUUCUCUUUGUGAUACACUGUCUCCUUAAUCGCCAGGUGCGAAUGGAAUACAGGAAAUGGUUUACUGGGAUGAGGAAAGGGGUUGAAAUUGAAAGCACUGAAGUGUCUCCCUCAUCUACCCACACCAAAAUGUAGGAGGAACUGGGGAAGUCAUCAGAAUCCUAUCGCAGAAGAGACGCUGCAUCUGUCCAACCACAGCCUCAGAUUCAUCUUGUCACUGUUUCUUGGCAAAGAACAGGAAGCUGAGCUGUUUAUGGACGGCGCCCCACCCGUGGUCACAUAUGGAUGAGAACAACGCCACCAUCCAUCUUUCCUGUGAAAAUGAGUGCUGAUGUAUUCCUCUAUUUUGGCUUCUAUCUCCAUAGAAAGAAGGGG